CGUGUGUGUGUACGUGUGUGUGUGUGACUGUGUGUGUACGUGCGUGCGUUUGUGUGACUGUGUGUGUGUGCGUGCGUGCGUGUGUGUGUGCAGGAGAGCAGGGAGCGGGAGCGUCUGCUGGAUUCUCUUCAGAAAGAGAGAGACACUGUGAUCUCUAAACACACAACACAACUACACAAACUACAGCACACACUGGACACACAGCUGCAGGAGAUGCGCAGGACACACUCUCAGAAGGAGUCAGCUCUACAGGAGUGGAUGGAGAAGCUGGAGAUACAAACCAAAGAACUUCAAACUCAGGAGGCUGAACUUCAGUCAAAGGCAUCAGAUCUGAGGAAGAGGAGACAGCAGCUGUGUGAGGAAGAGGAGGACGCUCAGAGAGGAUUACAGUCUCUCCCGCAGCUGCUGAAGGAGCGGGAUGAGCUGCGUGAGGAGCUGCAGAGGAUGAGAGCAGAUCUGCAAAGAGAGAGACAGGAGCGAGAGCGACAGAGAGAGGAGAACAGCAGGAUGAUGGAGGAGCGACGGGAGCUGGAGGCCAGAGUCACGCUUCUGCAGGAGCGAUGUGAGCAGCUGACCUCCAGAGUCAGUGAACUGGAGCAGAGGAGCAGAGCGGAGCGAGAACAGCAGCAGGACGGAGCAGAGGACGAGCAGAAGAAGAGCAAGAGAAAGACAGAGAACGGUCUGCGUUUGGAGGAUCUGGAGGCUCCGCUGCUGCGGUCAGACGCCAGCGACACCAGCGUAGACGACGUGAGGCAGUACAUGUGGAAUGAGAGCGUGUCUCUCUUCAGGGCUCGUCAGUUUCUGGAGCGGCAGAGCGCUCACAUGUUUGACAGACAGGCAGCGCUGCGGACGGCUCACAGCAGUCUGAAGGACCCCACGCCUGGGAGCUCAACACAACAGCAGCUCUACCACAACCUGCAGCAGGUGAGUGUGAGUGUGAGUGUGAGUGUGAGUGUGAGAGAGAGAGAGAGAGAGAGAGAGAGAGAGAGAGUGAGAGAGA
rnacentral:lncRNA from 1 species